rnacentral:rRNA from 1 species
GUGGGGAAUAUUGGGCAAUGGGCGGAAGCCUGACCCAGCGACGCCGCGUGGGGGAAGAAGUCUUUCGGGAUGUAAACCCUUGUUGUACGGGACGAAGGAAGUGACGGUACCGUACGAGGAAGCCCCGGCAAACUACGUGCCAGCAGCCGCGGUAAUACGUAGGGGGCGAGCGUUGUCCGGAAUCACUGGGCGUAAAGCGCACGUAGGCGAGCUGUCAAGUCGGCCGUGAAAGGCACGGGCUCAAGCUGUGCAUGUCGGUCGAUACUGGCGGUCUGGAGUAUGGAAGAGGGAACUGGAAUUCCGGGUGUAGCGGUGAAAUGCGUAGAUAUCGGGAGGAACACCAGUGGCGAAGGCGGGUUCCUGGCCCAUGACUGACGCUGAGGUGCGAAAGCCGGGGGAGCGAACGGGAUUAGAUACCCGGGUAGUCC